GUCCCUGUGGCGCAAUGGGUAGCGCGUUGGACUUCUAAUCUAAAGGUCGUGGGUUCGAAUCCUACCUGGGAUG
rnacentral:tRNA from 1 species